GGGGUCCCCCGGGGGCUGUGCUGAGGACGGCCUGUGGCAGGGCCACUCCACACCCCUCAGCGUCCGGGCCACACAGACACAGAACGCGAGAGAGAGACUGACCCACCCACGCACCGGUACCCAUAGACGCAGAGACCGAGGCAGAAAUGACGGGAUUGCCGCAGACCGGCCAGGAGCAGGGACAGACAGCGGCUCCGCAGACUCUGCUUCCUGAGGCAGUGACUUUGCUCAUCGUUGUCCCUGCGGUAUCG
rnacentral:lncRNA from 1 species